CCUGUGCGCCUGCGCUGCGCGUGCACCCGCGCCGGAAGGCUGUGCGCCUGCGCUGCGCGUGCACCCGCCCCGAAAACCUGUGCGCCUGCGCUGCUCGGGCACCCGCGCCGAAAACCUGUGCGCCUGCGCUGCGCGUGCACCCGCGCCGGAAGGCUGUGCGCCUUCGCUGCGCGUGCACCCGCCCCGAAAACCUGUGCGCCUGCGCUGCGCGUGCACCCGCGCCGGAAGGCUGUGCGCCUGCGCGUGCACCCGCGCCGGAAGGCCGCGCGCCGCUGGGGACGCGCGCGCUGCCUUAGUGCCGGGCACCCCUGGCGGGUCGGUUCCAUUACCUCCUCCGCUCUCACCCACCGGGUGCAAGACUCAGAAAGGGCAUAGCGAACGCCUCUGGGGCCUGAUGUGAAAGAGUGAGUCAUUGGUUUUCAGUGAAGUGCUUUCUGGAGCAGGGAGAUGGGGGUGAUUUGGCAACGCCUUAAGGUUGCCGUCAACUCGGAAGGCUUUGCAGCUGUUUCGUUUUUCCACGCCCCACCCCCAACCACCGGAAGCCAAACUCCAGCCCAAGAGGAGGUUGCCAGGCAACACUUGAUAGUUGUCUUCUGGGAGCGGGGCCAGACACUGGCCUAGAACAUAAGUACAUUCCAGGUGAAUACAAAAUGUAAAUGCAACAAGUGAAGCCAUAAAAAAUAUCUGAAGGAAUAAAGAAACACACUAUAUAAUCCUGAAGACUUGGGGAAAGUUUCGUACCGUUACAGCAAAGCCAGAAAACGUAAAAUACUGAUUUGUUCGCAAAAGACUCCCUAAAACAAGUUGGGG